AGUUAUCGCCGGGGUUUCCUCCUCCCAUUUUUCCCUGGCGAUCAAAAGACCGGACGUCCUCCUCCCCUAUUGUCCGGUCUUCCCCAUAAGCACCCGUCGCUCCUCCCGCGACGGGUGCUUUUG
rnacentral:sRNA from 1 species